rnacentral:RNase_P_RNA from 2 species
CUUGGAAGACAAGACAGUGCCCCGACGUAACAUCGGGGAGGAAAGUCCAGGCACCACAGAGUAGGAUGCUCUCCGCAUACAUCUAAGAUGUAUGCUCUGGGCGGCCGUAAGGCUAGGGAAAGUGGAACAGAAACAAACAGCCACCCGACGCGUAAAGCUUUGGGCGGCGAAGGUGAAAUCGUGAGGUAAGAGCUCACGGUCCGGUAGAGUAAUCUGCUGGGCGUCCAAACCCCAUCUGGUGCAAGGUAAGUGGAUCCAAUCAUCAUCAAUCCUUCGAUAAACUCAGGAUUGAUCCUGAGCAAAGUCGAAUGGAUCAAACCAACUGCUCGUUGGGAUGUCCAUGGGUCUUACCGCUUAGAUAGAUGCUGUUAUAAACAGAACCUGGCUUAUGUUCUUCCAGGGCAC